rnacentral:rRNA from 7 species
AGCCUGAUGCAGCCAUGCCGCGUGUGUGAAGAAGGCCUUCGGGUUGUAAAGCACUUUCAGUCGUGAGGAAGGUAGUGUAGUUAAUAGCUGCAUUAUUUGACGUUAGCGACAGAAGAAGCACCGGCUAACUCCGUGCCAGCAGCCGCGGUAAUACGGAGGGUGCGAGCGUUAAUCGGAAUUACUGGGCGUAAAGCGCAUGCAGGUGGUUUGUUAAGUCAGAUGUGAAAGCCCGGGGCUCAACCUCGGAAUAGCAUUUGAAACUGGCAGACUAGAGUACUGUAGAGGGGGGUAGAAUUUCAGGUGUAGCGGUGAAAUGCGUAGAGAUCUGAAGGAAUACCGGUGGCGAAGGCGGCCCCCUGGACAGAUACUGACACUCAGAUGCGAAAGCGUGGGGAGCAAACAGGAUUAGAUACCCUGGUAGUCCACGCCGUAAACGAUGUCUACUUGGAGGUUGUGGCCUUGAGCCGUGGCUUUCGGAGCUAACGCGUUAAGUAGACCGCCUGGG